CCUACGGGUGGCAGCAGUGAGGAAUAUUGCUCAAUGGGCGAGAGCCUGACCCAGCCAAGUAGCGUGAAGGAUGACUGCCCUCCGGGUUGUAAACUUCUUUUAUAAAGGAAUAAAGUGAGGCACGUGUGCCUUUUUGUAUGUACUUUAUGAGUAAGGAUAGGCUAACUCCGUGCCAGCAGCCGCGGUAAUACGGAGGAUCCGAGCGUUAUCCGGAUUUAUUUGGUUUAAAGGGAGCGUAGAUGGGAUGUUAAGUCAGUUGUGAAAGUUUGCGGCUCAACCGUAAAAUUGCAAUUGAUACUGGCAGUCUUGAGUACAGGUGAGGUAGGCGGAAUUCGUGGUGUAGCGGUGAAAUGCUUAGAUAUCACGAAGAACUCCGAUUGCGAAGGCAGCUUACUAAACUGCCACUGACAUUGAUGAUCGAAAGUGUGGGUAUCAAACAGGAUUAGAUACCCUAGUAGUC
rnacentral:rRNA from 1 species